rnacentral:rRNA from 1 species
CCUACGGGUGGCUGCAGUGAGGAAUAUUGGUCAAUGGGCGCGAGCCUGAACCAGCCAAGUCGCGUGAAGGAUGACUGCCCUACGGGUUGUAAACUUCUUUUAUAAAGGAAUAAAGUGAGGCACGUGUGCCUUUUUGUAUGUACUUUAUGAAUAAGGAUCGGCUAACUCCGUGCCAGCAGCCGCGGUAAUACGGAGGAUCCGAGCGUUAUCCGGAUUUAUUGGGUUUAAAGGGAGCGUAGAUGGGUUGUUAAGUCAGUUGUGAAAGUUUGCGGCUCAACCGUAAAAUUGCAGUUGAUACUGGGAGGCUUGAGUACAGUUGAGGUAGGCGGAAUGCGUGGUGUAGCGGUGAAAUGCUUAGAUAUCACGAAGAACCCCGAUUGCGAAGGCAGCCUACUAAGCUGCCACUGACGCUGAUGCUCGAAAGUGUGGGGAUCAAACAGGAUUAGAUACCCUUGUAGUC